AAAAAAUCAGCAUUGGGAGGAUUGCUUGCAAGAGAAGAAUCCAAAUCAUUCUCAUUCUUUACAUGCCUUCUCACAGGCAAUUUUUUAGGACCCAGCACAGACAUUGCUGCAGCAUUCCAUUCACAAUCAGCUUCUGGGAAUUGCUCACUAAAUUCUUCUGAAGUAGAAACAAAAUGAGAAUAAUCAUCCUCUUGAUAUACGUUGUCCUCCGUAGAAGGCACCACUUGAGUAGACAUCUCGUCAUCCAUGUGUAGCUCUGAAAUCAUCCCAGAACCAAACUCCAUAUCUGAAUUAUCUAUCUUUAAAGCCUUUGUGCGCAUUCUCUUUUCUUCCAACUGUUUUUUGCUUUCUGGAUUCAAAUAAGGACAGAUAGGUAUUCUAGUCCUACGGCAUCUAGAACAUUUG
rnacentral:misc_RNA from 1 species